rfam:Angiostrongylus costaricensis strain Costa Rica genome assembly, scaffold: ACOC_scaffold0000124
GGGGGUAUAGCUCAGUAGUAGAGCGCUUUUUCGGCCUGGAAGAGGACUGGGGUUCAAUUCCCCAUACCUCCA